AGGUUGUGCUCAAGAGCUGGCGGCCACAGUGCCUGUCGGUUUACAACACAGCAACCAGAAUCCGGGUGCGCUGUGACAAUGGGCACACUUUCUGGGCUCCCAUGGACAACCGCCCUACACAC
rnacentral:snoRNA from 1 species